ACGGGUGAGUAACGCGUGGUCAACCUACCGUUGAGUGGGGGAUAACUAGCCGAAAGGUUAGCUAAUACCGCAUACGAGUCUUGGGGGCAUCCCUGGGCCUUAAAAGGAGCAAUCCGCUCGAUGACGGGACCGCGUCCCAUUAGCUAGAUGGUGGGGUAAUGGCCUACCAUGGCUCCGAUGGGUAGCUGGUUUGAGAGAGCGACCAGCCACACUGGGACUGAGAAACGGCCCAG
rnacentral:rRNA from 1 species